rnacentral:rRNA from 1 species
AGCGAACGCUGGCGGCAUGCUUAACACAUGCAAGUCGCGCGGGUGGUUUCGGCCAUCAGCGGCGGACGGGUGCGUAUCGCGUAGGAAUGUAUCCCGAGGUGGGGGACAACCCUGGGAAACUGGGGCUAAUACCGCAUGGGGCCUGUGGGUCAAAGCCUUAGGGCGCCUUGGGAGCAGCCUGCGUCCGAUUAGGUAGUUGGUGGGGUAAAGGCCUACCAAGCCUGCGAUCGGUAGCUGGUCUGAGAGGACGAUCAGCCACACUGGGACUGAGACACGGCCCAGAAUCCUACGGGAGGCAGCAGUGGGGAAUAUUGGACAAUGGGGGCAAGCCUGAUCCAGCAAUGCCGGGUGGGUGAAGAAGGUCUUCGGAUUGUAAAGCCCUUUCGGCGGGGACGAUGAUGACGGUAACCGGAGAAGAAGCCCCGGCUAACUUCGUG